rnacentral:lncRNA from 1 species
AUGGUGUGGCAUGAGCAAACACUCACUGGAGAAGAAACGAUGGAGUCAGAGUUCCUGAAUGGAGAAUCACGCAUUUGUUUCUCUGUACGGCCGAGAAAGCCAUGGCAUCAGUAAAUGAAGCACUUUGAGAAAUGCCUGUUCUGUAAUUUGUUCUAAUUUGAGUGAGAACAAUUUUCUGAGAGGAGGGAAGCCAUAACAGAGUUUCUGCUAUCCUUAUUAGAUACCAGAUCCACAUAAGUAGCAUUAGCUUUUUUUCUUACUCAAGACUUCCAUGAGGACUCAGCAAGUCUUUGCAAUUCUCCCAAGAAAAUCCACUCCACGGAGGAUGUCUAAGACAUGAAGACUAUGACCAACAGUCACAAGGGUAGAAGAAGGUGGAUUUUACAUCACUCAUUCAGAAAAUGUCUUUCAACACCUCCAUUCCACUCCCUCCAUUUAUCUAUUUCCCCUUUUUCUCUCUUCAAGUCUGGAAGCAGGAGUUUCCUUCUCAGGAAGGAAACAUUUCCCCUUUGUUGACAUGAGAGAUCCUUUUUUGAAUUCAAUGAGAGAUUAUAAAUAACGGAAUUUUGGGUCAUCAUUAUUUUAUGUGUUCAUGUUCCACCUCUCGUUUGCAUUCUAACUCCCUCAGGGGGUGAACUACAUUUUCUGAUUCUUUGGUUGCCCCAUUUUCUCCUUUCCUGGCACCUGGCAUGGGACCCUGCAUACUAGGCUUGUGUGGAAGGAGAUGCAAAGCUUCUUACUUCACCAUGCGGGGCCAUGGAGCUCAGCACCACUCUGCCAGGUGAAGGAGCAGCUGCCACUAAGUGGUAUUUCUGCCAUUGACUUAAUAACUGGGGCCUAGUUUCCCAGGAAUAGGGUUUAUUUCUGCUAACUUAUGAGACUCUUAGAAGCAGAAGCUUCUGGCAUCUGUGUGUGGAACAAGGCCUGAGUGAGAAGUGACACUUUACAUCCCUGGGAAUUAUUAUGAAAGAAUUGGAAACUAAGGAAGAUGAGUAUCACCAACUGGACUCAGGAGUAUUCAAAUCCAGCUCUGGACCAGUCAGCUCUCCUGCCUGUGGAAUUCCUGAGGAGAUGUACAGGAAAUAGGAACGUAGAACAACUUUGUUCUAAGCUUGGCUUCUUCCCAAAACACCAUUGGAAAGCUCAAAUAAUUUGGUCCAAAGUCAUAAGGAGAACCUUACUCUCUCCCAUCCCCCAAAUCCACAUCUUACCUCUAACAAGAGUUAGAGGAGAUAAGAGUGCUGGAGCACAACAAGGAAGAAUUGGAGCGGGGCAUCCUAGGGCAUCAGGAUGGUGCUGGUUAUUUUUACCACUCAUGCUGCCGGAAAGACUAUCAUAGAAUACAAAGAAAGUAGUCUCGGCUGAUUUUCUCGAAUCUGCUCCUGGGGAAUUGACUGCAUUGAUGACAUGGAGGCAUGAAGAACAAAGAGCCACAUAUAAGUAGUAACCUUUAAAACCACAGUGUUACUGCUUCUUAGCAAUUAUGCCUCAGUCAGGGUUGAAUCAUCUUAUUAGUCAGUCUAGUAUUGCCUUGUAUGAGGACAGAGACAUGUGGUAGAGGAACUGGGAAUAAACUCUGCCUUCAUUUUGAAGGUGGCCAUUAUGGUCUUCCUUAUGUUUUGUAUUCCUGGCUUAACUGCCCAGGGUUACCUGAUGUGAUCUCCACAUCUUUCCUCAUCCUGGCCAUCUUCUUUGCAAUGUAUUUCCUUUGUCAAUGUUCCCAGGACGGUGUGAGAAUCGACUGAUGAGUUCACAUGAAAUGAAACUAUUCCUUACCUUAUUCUAGACCUGGUGGAAAAAAGAAUUAUUAAAAUUUCUGUUUAUUUUAUUCUUUAUAUUUUUGUCUCACAUUUCUAAUUUUUGUAUUCUUACUAUGAUCCAUAAAUAUAUCAGUUUAGUUGUUCAUAUGUACAUAUAUAAGUGAAGAAGUCUACAUAUUUGGGGAUAUAAUCAAAAAUAUUUUAUUGAUGGUAUGAAUGAUUAGACAAAUGUUAACAGCCACUCAUCUAAAUUCUAUGUUUUUAAAUAAAUAGUGCACUAUCAAAGGUGGUAUUGGAUAUAUUAGCAACCCAUUAUUUAUUAGAAGCCUAGAAUUAAAUGUGGUCCUUUUCUACCCAUGUUCAACAUUCUCUAGGCUUAGAAGUUAUUUUGAUAUUCUUUUAUGUGCUGUCUUCUCAGUCUCUAUUCCCAUGGUGUUAAUUUAGGCCUCCAUCUUAACCUUUCUAGGCUAUUGCCAUAGUCUCCUAAAUGUUCUCUGUCUCCAGUUUGCCCCUUUAAGUGUAUCCUCCAUGGGCCAUUGCCUUGCUCAGAGUAUAUCAGGAGCUUUCCAGUGCUUAUCAAGAAGAGUUCAGAGUCUUUUAUGAGAAUAAUUGUAUUUUCUGAGACUAACUGUAUUUUUAUGAGACUGAGUUCAGAGUCUUUUAUGAGACUAACUGUAUUUUCUUUUAUGAAACUAACUGUAUUUUCUGCCUCCCCAUCAUUUCUACCUUAGAAAUUCCAUGCUCUGGAAAUACUGUGUACUGGUAGUAUGACUAAGUUGUGUCAUGCCUCUGUCCUUGCCCAUUCUAGUCCCUCUGCCUGGAACACACUCCUAAUCUUUCUUUACCUGCCCAACAUGGGCAUGUCCUUUAAGACCAAGUCCAGGCAUCCUGUCCAUCAGAAACUCUCCCUUUAACCCUUAGAUUGAAGUAACUGCUCUCUCUUCAUCUCCGGUAUUAGCUUUUUUGUACUAAAAGUCCAGACAUUUCGUACAUUAUAUAAAAUUUAUCUACUUAUGUAUUUAUUUGUAAAUAGACUGCAAGUUCCUUGAAAGUAGGGACCAUAUUUUAUUUAACUGUGUCUGUCUAUCAUGGUAUUUAGCAGCCAGAUUGGAUCUAUUUGGUAAAUGAGAUAAUAAGCAAUGAAAAUACUUAGCUUUGCAAAUUUUCAUACCUUUUCCACAUACUGCUGUUAAGUUGGUUCCCAUAAAUUUAUGGGCUCUAGAUGUAAGGAAUUUAUAUAUACUCUACUUGUUUUUUAAUCAUUCAGGCUUUUAAAAAAUAAUUCUGUCAUUAUUCCUCCAGUUAUGGCAUAUGCAAAUUGAAAAAGCAUACCUUGACUUUAUACAAGCUGUUGUUAUAGAACUAUCAAUAAGUACAGUAUCAGGAAUGGAUAGAGCCCAGUUAUUUGCUAUAUUAGUGUGGAUUCAUUGAUGAGUAUGGGUCUACCUAACUGUACUAUUUCCUCAUUCAUAUUUAUAAUUUUAUUUAUAAGGAUUUCAUUCAUUCUUUUAUUUGUUCAUUCAAUAAGCAUUUAUUAAGCAUCUACUGCUAAUAUGCCAGGUAUUAUCCCAGGCCCCAUAGCUAUAGCAAAGAACAAAAUCAAGUCACUGCUUUCAUGGUUUAUGUUCUAGGAGCAAGAACAAAUUAAUGUGUUUUAUUAAAUGAGAAAAAUUAAGCAAGAUAAUUGGAAUAAUGAGGGAGGGAGAGGUGGGUGAGUGCUUUUUUAUAUAGGGCAAUCAGGGAAAACUUAUUUUUUUAAAGAUUUUAUUUAUUGAGAAAGAGAGAGAGAGAGAGAGAGAGAAUGCGUAGGGGAUGGGGCAGAGAGAAAGGAAGAAGACUCCCUACUAAGCAGGAAGCCUGAUGCUGGGCUUGAUUCUAGGACCCUGAGAUCAUGAUCUGAGCCAAAGGCAGACACUUAACCAACUGAACCACUCAGGUGCCCCAGGGAAAACUUCUUUUAAGUAAAAAUGUGAAUGAGAUGAGGAAACAGCCAUUUGAAUUCCUCCUGGAAGCAUUUUCUGUGUGAAGACUCUUGGAAGACUGUGUUGGUAUAUUCAAGGACUCACAAGAAGGCUUUGAGACUUUGUCAGAAUAAGACUUUCUCAUAAGUAAGGACAAUUAUAUUAAUUCCCAUUUAAUUUUACAUUUAGUCUAUAUAUAAUUCUUAUAGUGAAUGCUUUCUUAACAACACAAUGAUCUUUGUCCUUAAUUAGUGUGUUUCCUCGAACAAGGUGUAACUUUCAAUUUCAACUAAUGUAGAAACUUCAUUCCUCUGAAUCUAUGGGGAGAUAAUAUCCAUUUGAUUCUUGACAUCAUAUGCCACCCCUUUUAAAAAAAACACAGUAUUUGUGUUAACAUAAUUUCCUCUUUUUUAUGCCUCACACUAUAUGCAUAGAUUUCUGGAUAUUGGAUGCCGUGUAUACUAUUCUGGGUUCUUUUCCCUGUUGUUUCCUCCAGAGAAUCAUCACUAGCUUCCUUCUCCAUGAUGAGUUUUUUCUUUCUGUGACCAGCUUUCCUUUCUUACACAGUGUUUAGUUUUACCACUUUUAUCUGAACUUUUUCUUCCCUCUUUUGAAAUUUCACUGGAAAGCUUUCUUGAGCAGGUCCAUUGAAAUAUUUUGUAUAUUUACAUGCUUGCUUUUUUUGUUGUUCAAAUGUCAGCAUCUUAAGAAAAGAAAUACACUUAAAUGUUUUAAAGAAUAAAGAAUAUGUGUGAGGAGAAGAUCAUAAGUUCAUUUCAUGAUGUCAAUCCUGAUUAGAGUGAGAAUAUUUAAAAAGGUCUAAAUCACCAGGGAUGGCCUGGGUGGGUUAGCUGUUGAGCAUCUUCCUUUGGCUCAGGGCAUGAUCCUGGGUCUGGAGAUCCAGUCUCGCAUUGGGCUCCCUGUGGGGAGCCUGCUUCUCCCUCUAUCUAUGUCUAUGCCUCUCUCUCUGUGUGUCUCUCAUGAAUAAAUAAAUACAAUCUUUAAAAAAAAUCGCCAUAAAAAGCAUUCUUAUCAAUGUGCAAGUAGAAGUGUGCCCAUUAAUAGUAAAUAACAGAAGAAGAAAUGACUCCUUCUUUGCCACACCCUGAGAUGUUUUUAACAUUUAUAUUCAUAAUUUCUCAAACUCAGAAGCAACCAGAAUGUCUUUCAGCAAGUGAAUGGAUAAAUAAACGGUGGUCCAUUCAGACAAUGGAAUGAGCUAUCAAGCCACAGAAAGAGACGGAGGAAACUUAAAUGCAUGUUGCUAAGUGAGAAGCCAAUCUGAAAAGGCUAUAUUCUGUAUGAUUCCAACUAUAUGACAUUCUGGAAAAGGCAAAACUAUGGAGACAAUAAAAUAUCAGUAGUCCAGGGAUUGAGGGGAGAGGAAAUGAAAAGUCAGAGAACAGUUAGUUUUUAGGGCAGUGAAAAUACUUUGUAUGAUAUUGCAGUGAUUGAUAUAUGUCAUCAUAUGCUUGUCCAAACCCGUAGAAUGUACAAAAAGCAUGAGCCCUAAGGCAAACUCUGGACUUUUCAUGAUUAUGAUGUGUCAGUAUAGGUUCAUCCUUUGUAACAUAUGUGCCGUUCUGGUAAGUGAUGCUGAUAAUGAGGGAGGCUAUGUGUGUGUGGAGGCUGAGGGCCUAUGGGAAAUCUCUGUAUCUUUCUCUCAAUUUUGUUGUGAACCUAAACUGCUCUAAAAAAAUAAAAUCUCUUUAAAAAAAGGACAUUUGAAAGGUGUGCAUGUAUAUACUGAGAGUAAUAUUUCUCAUUGGGAUUGUGUGGCUAUCCAUGUUUACCUGGAUAGGUACAGGGUUAUUGGAUAAGAACCUGAACUUCAUGGCCAGGAUGCUUGGGUUCAAGUCUCCAUUCUAUCACUUAUUAUUAUUAGGAUGUGACCUUGGAAAUGACCUAAGUUAU